rnacentral:tRNA from 1 species
GAGGGUAUAGCUCAGUGGUAGAGUGCCUGCUUAACACUCCCGAGGUCCUGGGUUCAAUUCCCAGUACCCCCA